rnacentral:rRNA from 1 species
AUUGAACGCUGGCGGCAGGCCUAACACAUGCAAGUCGAGCGGAUGAGUGGAGCUUGCUCCAUGAUGCAGCGGCGGACGGGUGAGUAAUGCCUAGGAAUCUGCAUGGUAGUGGGGGACGACGUUUCGAAAGGAACGCUAAUACCGCAUACGUCCUACGGGAGAAAGUGGGGGAUCUUCGGACCUCACGCUAUCAGAUGAGCCUCGGUCGGAUUAGCUAGUUGGUGAGGUAAAGGCUCACCAAGGCGACGAUCCGUAACUGGUCUGAGAGGAUGAUCAGUCACACUGGAACUGAGACACGGUCCAGACUCCUACGGGAGGCAGCAGUGGGGAAUAUUGGACAAUGGGCGAAAGCCUGAUCCAGCCAUGCCGCGUGUGUGAAGAAGGUCUUCGGAUUGUAAAGCACUUUAAGUUGGGAGGAAGGGCAGUAAGUUAAUACCUUGCUGUUUUGACGUUACCAACAGAAUAAGCACCGGCUAACUUCAUGCCAGCCGCCGCGGUAACAC